AAGUCGUAACAAGGUUUCCGUAGGUGAACCUGCGGAAGGAUCAUUAAUAAAAUUCUUCCUGAAAAGGAAGUAUUUAAUAUUGCUGCAAAGCUUUAAAAAAUUCAAGUGAAUUAGAAAUAUAAAAGUUGCUAUUUAUAGUAAUACUUGAUUUAGUUUUGGCUAAACAAGAAUAUCUUUUAAUUCUACUUUUUGUAACCUGAAGCGUAAAAACUUCAAACCAUACCACUUUAAUAACUAAAAAAAUAAAAUUACAACUUAUAACAAUGGAUCUCUCGGCUCCU
rnacentral:misc_RNA from 1 species